rnacentral:rRNA from 1 species
UGAGCAACCUGGCCCUUGCUUUGGGAUAACCCCGGGAAACCGGGGCUAAUACCGAAUAUUCACUGUCUGCUGCAUGGCGGGUGGUGGAAAGAUUUUAUUGGGCGGGGGAUGGGCUCGCGGCCUAUCAGCUUGUUGGUGGGGUGAUGGCCUACCAAGGCGACGACGGGUAGCCGGCCUGAGAGGGCGACCGGCCACACUGGGACUGAGACACGGCCCAGACCUCCUACGGGAGGCA